CCAGAAAGAGGGACAUUAUACAAACAGAUGUAAAGACCCACUAACAACAGGUGUGAACGUAUCUACAAAGCUGGAAAGAAUCCAGUUUCAACCAAGUGGUGUAUCAGAAAAAGAGGCCAUCCAAUGUUGGUUUAUGUUUAUUUUCCACUGACCCUAUCCUUGACCAUGUCUCCAUCUAAAUAUGUUCCAGCUCAUGCGACGUUCCGUCACCAGAUAUAUGGACUAUAAGGCAAUUGCCCAACAAAUGGCCCAAGAAGUUUUAGGCUAUAAUCAAGAUACAUCAGGCUGGAAAGUGGUUAAAACUUCAAUAUCGUGUUGAAGGGAUAAUUCCAGAAUCAGCAGCUAAACUAUCUGAUUUCCUCUACCAAACUGGAGGCAGAGUUACAUGGGAUAAAUCAUUGCAAGUGUAUGAUAUGGUACACAGGAUUGAUUCGGUAAUUUGUUGUUUUAAUACUAGACUUUUAGUACAUUAAUAUGUUUUUAGUUUAUACCUUAGUGAGUUGAGUUUAUUAAAACUAUGUUAUGUAGACAAAGUAUUUUAUAGUUUCAAAUUGACUUGAAGUCUUUAUAAAAGCCUUAAAAGUUCCCUCUUUAUUUUCCAAGGGUUUAAUUCUAAUUAGCUUUAUUCUGCUUGUAAAUGUGUAUUACAUUUUGAAUCUGGUAAGCUCUCUUGCAAUGUGUGCCAUUUGUUAUAAGGGAACAGAACUCAGGGAUUCACCUCCGUUCCAUGGAAAACAAAGGUUAAGUAUGCCCCCUUGAUGGGAAGUCUAUAGACCUAUUUUAGUUAUGUUACAUUAGGUAUUAGGAAACUUACAAUCAUGGCAGAAGGGGAAGCAAGCACAUUUUACCAUGGCAAAGCAGGAGAGAGAGGAAGCACGGGGGAGAUGCCACACACUUUUAAACCAUCAGAUCUCAUGAGAACUCACAUCACAAGAACAGGAGCAAUGCAGACACAUACCAUAAGGACUUAAAGAAAAGCAGCAUGUAAUGUUUAAGAGUAAGUGUAUGAGACCGUUCUCACACUGCUCUGAGGAAAUACCCAAGACUGGGUAAUUUAUAAAGGAAAGAGGUUUAAUUGACUCACAGUUCUGCAUUGCUGGGGAGGCCUCAGGAAACUUAUAAUCAUGGCAGAAGGCAAAGGAGAAGCAGGCACCUUCUUCACCGGGCAGCAGGAGAACAGCAUGGGGGAAACUGCCCCCAUGAUCCAAUUGCCUCCACGUGGUCCCUCCUUUGACAGGUGGAGAUUACAAUUCAAGGUGAGAUUUGGGUGGGGACACAGAGCCAAACCACAGCAGUAAGGAUAAAGUAAGGAAAUAACAUUAUAUAGAAGGUUGAAGUUUAGGAACUCUUUCAAAUAUGUUAUCUCAGUUAAACAGAUAUAAAGAGGGAAAAUAAAAGAAAAAACACAAAGGUAACUGGAGUAGAAAGUUAAAGAUACAGUUGAGAGAAGAGAAAAUGUGAGAGACAAGUAUGGUUUAGGGAGAGACAGAAGAAAGGAUCAGUAUGAGGUAAGGGCAGAAUGAAAGCUCAGGUGCAGAAAAAAUGAAUGAAAUGACAGGAAUAAUGAUACACGGUAAAAAGAGGUUGUAUUAGUCUGUUUUCACACUGCUAUAGAUAACUACCUGAGACUGAAUAAUUUAUGAAGAAAAGAAGUUUAAUUGACUCAAAGUUCUAUAGGCGUCACAGGAAGCAUGACUAGAAGGCCUCAGGAAAUUUACAAUCAUGGCAGAAGGUGAAGGGGAACACCUUGGCAUGAGAUAACAGGUAACUCUCUUGUUUCUUUGGCAGAAAAGGAGAGAGAGGGAGCUAAGGUGGAAGUGCCACAUACUUUUAAACCAUCAGAUCUCAUGAGAACUCAUUAUCACGAGAACAGUGAUUUGGAAGUCUGCCCUAUGAUUCAGUCACCUCCCACCAGGCCAAUCCUUCAAUUAAACAUGGUAUUUGGGCAGGGACACAAAUCCAAACCAUAUUAGAAGUAGCAACAAGGAUGAAGAAAUGGGAUAAGUGAUUCUAAACUUUGGUCCAGCACACUGUAGAUAUCGCAUUUAUUUAUUAAAGCCAUUAUAAAAAUAACCACCUGGAGGGAUGGGGGAUGAUUCUUCUCUCCUCCUGUAAUGUAUUAAAAUUCAUUCCCCAUUUCUGUUAUUAUUUGUGUUUUCUCCCUCUCAGGAAAUCUGUUUGUGGGGGAAUCCUGACUUUGUUCCAACCUCUCCCAAACUGAUGUGUAUGUUCUUUUGACUAAUUAAUUCACUUCACUAAUACUUUUUGAGCAACUGUUGUGAACAACAUGCUGUUUCAGGCACUAGGGACAUAUAAGGGAAGAAGAAGAAAUUGUCCCUGCUUUCACAAAACUUAUAUUCUCAUCAGAAGAGACAUAAUAAAUAAACAAUUUUUUAAAACUUACCAUAUAAUGAAGGCUAGGAUUGGUAUGAGUAUUAUGAAGGAUAAUAGUAAUAUCCUUAUUACUAUUAAUAACAAUGGUAAUAACCAGGAGAAGCUAAUUGAUAGCUAGAGAAUUGGGAAAGGCCUCUCUGAGUAAGAGACAUUAGAAACCUUGGUAACAAAAUGGAGAUUAGGGAGAUAGACAUGCAAAGAUCUGGGAGAGAGUAACAGACAUAGGGGAAAGCAAAUGCAAAGGCCUUGUGGUGGAGAGUUUGGCAGUGUUCAAUCAAGAGGUAAACAAGGUCUAUGGGGUUUGACCAUAAAAAGCAAGAAGAGUGGUUACGAGGUGAGAGGUUAGGCUUGGAUCAAAUUCUGCAAGAGUCUUAAAGGUCAGGGGGAGAAGUUUUGCUCUACAUUCAGUGGGAAGCCAUUGGAGUGUUUUAAGCAGGGAAGUGACUGAUUUGAUUUACACUUUUGAGAGACAGCUGCUGAAAGAGCAUGGAUUGUAAGGGGUAAGAAUGAAAUCACCAAGAAUAGUUAGGAGGCUAUGAGAGUAAGCUAAAUGAGACAUCUUGGUGACUUGUGCUAGGAUGAUAGAUGUAGAGAUGGAGGUAAGUCAGGGAACCCAAAGAUAUAGAGAUAGAGUCAAUAGGGCUGUCUGAUACAGGGAGAGAGGAAUCAGGUAAGUUUUCUAAAACUGGAUUGUGUUGUAAUUGCACAAAUACAUUUCCUUUAGGAAACUCAUUGAACUGUAUACUUAAAAUAGGUGAAUUUAUGGUAUGUAUAUUAUACUCAAGCUGUUUUUAAAAAUGAGUCCUAGAUUUCUGGCUAAUAAAAACUUUAUUUAAAAGAGAUAAGAAAUGUGAAUGAUUGAAUAAAGGAAAUUUUUAUGAUUUUCACAAAUAAUUGUAUUUGUAAAAUUUCAGAUCACUAGGCCUUAGGUUCUUUAAUUCUGCAAUCUGCAUUCAUUUAUCAAAGCAAACAAAAAUAAAUAAAUAAGCCACAUAUCUGCCAUCAUUUUAUCAUUUACUUAGAAUUCUGUAGUUUUACCUACUUUUAUUAAACUGAUCUUAAAAUCUGGGAGAGAAGAGCUGCAAAAAAGCCCAUGAAGGUGAAUCUGUUUCAUCUUGUAGAAAGUUCUUGAUCUUCAUCUUAUCAAUCAGUUUUAUUUUGUAGAGAGUAAGUUCUACACAAAAAACACAUGUCCAUGACCUUGGGAUUUGAACAUUCAGUUUGAGAACCAAUGGACAUCACAAAUGAAAAUCCCGAAAUUAAACUAUUUCAUUUAUCUUUGUGUGAUACUAAUCAUACAGUUUGAUUAGUGCUUCAGAUAUUUCUAUUGUUGCAAAUCAUACGUUAUAAUAGAAUACUAGAUGUGACAUCCAAAAACGUGAAAACAAACUCAGAGAUUAUGUGACUUACUCAAGGAUAAUGCAGCUAGUAUGUGGUAGAACCAGGACUUGUACCCAGUCUCCUAAUUCCAAAUUUUGUGCCCUUUCCAGUAUACCAUGUAUCUCUGAAUAGCAUUAUACUGCAAGAGGAAUUAUUUUACCCUUCUGUUAAUAUUUAUAGUAUUCAUCUCCAGGACUAUGUUUUAUUUAGUUAAUUAUUUUUAAAAUAAUAAUCAUUUUUUUAGAGAUAGGGUCUUACUCUAUUGCCCAGGCUAGAGUGCAGUGGUGUGAUCAAAGCUCACUGUAGCCUCAAACUCCUGGGUUCAAGCGAUCCUCCUACCUGAGCCUCCCAAGUAGCUGGAAUUACAGGCAUGUGCCACUAUGCCUGGUCAAGGAUGUAUUUUAACUGCCUCCUCUUCAACCUACUGGUGAGAGAGAGAGUCCCACUCUAGGGUUAUAGGGAUGGCCAAAUACAUAAUACUCAUUACUGGAGAAGUGAGGUAUACUGAAGUUUAUUAAUCAUUAAUCACAGACCAGGGAGGGAGGACAAACUAUGCCACACACGGCAACAUGGGAACAGAAUGAAUACCUACGGGCUGUGGGAGGCAGCCUUUGCAUCAACAGGAUAGGGUGAGCCCCAGUUCUUGCAGGAGAAUGUGAUUGACUUGUUUGAAUUCCAUGGGCCAUCAGGGAGAUGAAACCACUAAACAGAAAUAAAAAAUAAUAACUGUGCUGGUCCUGUUGAGAAGCAGGAUUGUUUGGCUAGGGUAUUUUAUCUGCAGGAAUGAAGAAGGAAAGGAAUGUGCAGUUAGGCCAUUCAGGACCCUCCUGGUUUCACCCUAUGCUGGUUUUACCAGCAUAUGAUACUGGGCUUUAAUUUUAGACCUUACCCCACAGGGUGCUAAAUCUAUGUAUUUUUUAAAAUACAUUACUUAGCCUAUGUGGAGUAGCAGAAGUAGUACUGUAUGGGGAAUCAGGAAGCCUGGGUUCUAUUUCUGUACUUAUCUCUAGUUGUGCAUGUGAUUUAAUUUGUUAGGCUUCAAUUUCUCCAUCUAAAAAUGGAAAGAGUAGAUGAUCUCAAGAUUGCUUCUUGAAUUUUCUAUACUCAUUGAUUUAACGCUCCUUUAACAUUCAAAAUCCAAGCUGAUUUGCUGAUAAGGUCUUAAAAUUUCAAAGUCCUGCUUUUUCCAAAUAGAGGCCAAUCAUAUGCAAUAAAAUUUGGGAGGGAAAUGAAACAUAAUAGAUACUAAAUAAUUGUUGUAAACUUUAUGGUUUGAAUUGUUGCAGGACACUUUCAUAUGUCAUACCAUUACACAAAGUUUUGCUAUGGGCUCCAUUUCUCCUCGAGACUUUAUCGACUUAGUGUACAUCAAGUGCUACGAAGGAAAUAUGAACAUUAUCAGUUGUAAGUUGAAACAUUUUGCCCAUAUCUUGGAAUUACUAUGAGCCAUUAAUAAGUGUUUUCCAGAAAUAAAAAGAAAAUAAAUGUUUUCCCUUUAUUCAGAGUUUGAAAGAAAUCAUAUUUAUAAUUACUGACUUUUAAAAUGUACUCAGUGGGAUCAACAAGUACACAUAUCAUAUAGACAUGUCUGGGGACACUCUGAAGGUCCCAUUUAUGUAACAAUCAAUGUUUACAACAUCUCUUAGACUUCCCCAGCAUACAUCCUGUAGCACAGGGUAUAGACAGAUACUUGUAGCCUAAAACAUCAAGGUAUACAUUUUUUAAAUCCUAAGUAACAAAAUUAACUGUUAGAUAUAAUUUUAUAUUUGAAUUGCUUAGAAUGGGCAUACCCAGUAGCUGAUAAAACUGUAAAAGAAAUUUCCACUAGAUGGCUCUUCAUAUAAAUGUGCUUAUAUUUCUUUUAGAAACUGCAGGUUUUGAUAUAUCCCUAUUCCCAUUCCCAAAUGUGUCACUCUGUAAAAUGCAAAUAUGUAAUCAUUUUCUAAUUUGCAUUAUUUGAUCAAACAUACCAUUUCAUACCAUAAGGAUCUACAGACUCAGAUAAUUUAAAAUAACUCAUGGUGAAGGAAUUUUGGUAGCACAGUGGCAUAGAGCCCUUUUUUCUCUAUGAUUUGAAUUAAUUUCACCAUUCCUAUCUGAAUAGUUUCCCCUAUUGUAAAGUACUUGGGAACAGGGACAAUUAAGUUUUAUUAAUUAUUAUUUCUCAACAAGAUUUCACUUCCUCCGAGGUAUCUUUCAUACUCUUAAGUUUCAGAGUCCAGAUUGAGUUGCAGCACUCAUUCAAACCCAGUUAGCUCUUUCUACAGCAUACCACUAAGGGCUGAUGUUCACAAUGUUCAUAUAUGUCUAAUUGUCUUGUUUUUGAAAUGAGGGUACAUAUAAUGUAUUCACUGCCUGCAACAUAAAAUAGUCUGCCUGAACAGAGGGUAGAUCUGUUAUUUUCCACAUUUUGAAGCAGACCAUUACUAUAUAAUUAUUAGUGAUCAGAGGGAAGCUAAAAAAGAAGUAGAGGUUAAAAUCGACAUUUAGAGGUAAUCAAUCACGUGGUGCACAAAUCACUACUGAAUUUUCUGUAAGAAGUUUCCGUUGAAUGAAUUUUUGAUCAAUACUCAUGGUUUUCUUAAGGUUUCUUUCUUUUUUUAAUUCUACUCUACAUGUUGCUUUAAGCUAAAUAUUUUGCUUGCAUUAUGUCACUAGAGAGGAAACUGAAGUUCAUGGAAAUUAAGCGGUUAAGAAAUUAAGUUACAUAGCUAGUAAGCAGCUAAACCAGAAUUAAAACUCAGAUCUUUCUGAUUUUCCAAAAUAAGUGCUAACUACCACACCAUAUGCUUCAUAAAAGACCCAUACCUGCUUGUAGACUACAACAGAUUUUUUAAAAGAAGACAAGUAUAAUUUCCAUAUUUCAAACAGAGAAAAAAUCUUUUAUAAUAACAUCACUUCUGGCAGUACUAUUAUAGGCUCUGUUGAGAUAAUAAAUAAAUCAUAAAAAUGGAAAAUUCAUUCAACUACUCUAGUCUCCUAAGUUAGUGUUUCACAUUGUAUUGAUUUCCUUAUGUAAAAUCAUAUCAGAAAAUCCAUCUUCUCUGACAAGAGCAGGAUUCAGUUGCACAGAAUAAACAAAUAUAUUUUUAGAAAUAUUUUAGAAACAGCAUAUAUAUUAUCAUAAAUUAAAUCAUAAACUACCCCCUCUGCAUUCAUAUACAAUACAGAUACUAGGUUGCAUAAUUCUAAAAUGAACUCUACUGAUUUUUAGUUAUGAUUUGAAGUUAGCUACAGGGAAUGGCAGAGGGAGUGUUUUAAACUAUCUUUAUUAACAGACCACCUAACCACUUCAAAUAUUUUAUUAAAAAAAAAAAAAAC